UGCUUCAGCCUCAGAUUUAGGCCAAGUUU
rnacentral:piRNA from 1 species